AGACUUACCUGACAGGGGAGGUACCAUGAUCACUAGGGUGGUUUUCCCAGGGCGCAGCUUAUCCAUCACAUUCCAGAUGUGCUGACCCCUGUGAUUUCCCCAAAUAUGGGAAACUUGUAUGUGUAAUUUGUGGUAGUGGGGGACUGCAUCCAUGCUCUCCUCUG
ensembl:snRNA U1 U1 spliceosomal RNA